UACGUAGGGUGCAAGCGUUGUCCGGAAUUAUUGGGCGUAAAGAGCUCGUAGGCGGUUUGUCGCGUCUGCUGUGAAAACUCGGGGCUUAACUCCGGGCUUGCAGUGGGUACGGGCAGACUAGAGUGCGGUAGGGGAGACUGGAAUUCCUGGUGUAGCGGUGAAAUGCGCAGAUAUCAGGAGGAACACCUGCGGUGUAGACGGCUUUCUGGACCAUUGUUGACGCUGAGACACGAAAGCGUGGGUAGCAAACAGG
rnacentral:rRNA from 1 species